rnacentral:rRNA from 1 species
CCUGGUUGAAUCCUGCCAGUAGCAUAUGCUUGUCUCAAAGUUGAAGCCACUGCAUGUAUUAAGUCACACGGCCUGAAAAAGUGAAACUGCGACAUGCUCAUUAAAUCAGUUAUGGUUCCUUUGAUCCUCACCCCUAAUUGGAUAACUGUGGCAAUUCUAGAGCUAAUACAUUGCAACUGAUCUCUCCGGGAUGCGUUGCAUUAUUCAGACUAAAACCCCGCGGACCGGCGUCGCCGCGUGGCUGGCCCCCGGCCUGUUUUGGUGACUCUAAGAUAAAACUUUGGCCGAUCGCUCGCCCUCGCACGGCGCGACGACUCAUAUCGAAUGUCUGCCCCUAUCAACUUUCGAUGUAACUCUAUGUGCCCUACCAUGUGUGACCACCCGGUAAGGGGAAUCAGGGUUCGAUUCCGGAGAGGGAGCCUGAGAAAGGCUACCACAUCCAGGGAAGGCAGCAGGCGCGCAAAAUUACCCAUUCACACUCGUGGGUAGUGACGAAAAAUAACAAUACAGGACUCUUUCGAGGCCCUGUAAAUUGGAAUGAGUGUACUUUAAAUCCUUGGCCAGUACCAAUUGGAGGGCAAAGUCUGGGUGCCAGCAGCAGCGCGGUAAUUCCAGCUCCAAUAGCGUAUCUUAAGUUGCUGCAGUUAAAAAGCUCGGUUUAGUUGGAUCUCGGGGCCGGGCUACGGUCGCCGCAAAGGCGUCCACCGACUGUCCCGGCCCUGCCCUCGGCGCCCCUCGAUGCUCUUGGUUGAGUGGUUAUGCGGGGUUCGAAGCGUUUACUUUGAAAAAUUAGAGUUGUUCAAAGCAGGCCCAGUUGCACGAAUACUGCAGCUAGGAAUAAUGAAUAGGACUCCGUUCUAUUGUUUGGUUUUCUCCAAUGGACUGGGCCAUGUUAAAGAGAGACGGCCGGGGGGCAUUCGUAUUGCGCCGCUAGAGGUGAAAUUCUUGACCGGCGCCAAGGACGGGACGAAAGCGAAAGCAUUUGCCAAGAAUGUUUCAUUAAUCAAGAACAAAGUCGGAGGUUCGAAGACGAUCAGAUUACCGUUCGUAUAGUUCCGACCAUCAAACGAUGCCGCACUAGCGAUCCGCGGCGAUAUUCCAUGACCCGGCCGGGGAGCUACCCGGGAAACCAAAGCUUUGGGUUCCGGGGGGAGUAUGGUUGCCAAAGCUGAAACUUAAAGGAAUUGAGGAAAGGCACACCAGGAGUGGAGCUGCGCUUAAUUUGACUCACACAGGGAACCUCGUCACCCGGCCCGACACGGAAAGGAUUGACAGAUUUGAUACUCUUUCUCGAUACUGUGGGUGGUGGUGCAUGGCCGUUCGUAGUUGGUGGAGCGAUUUUGUUGGUUCAUUCCGGGACAAACGACAGACAGACUCUGGCAGGCUAAAAUAGUUUACGCGGCUCCUCUCCAGAACUUCUUAGAGGGACACAGUGGGCGUACAGCCACACCCGAGAUUGAGCCAAUAAACAGGUCUGUGAUGCCCUUAGAUGUCCGGGGCUGGCACGCGCGGCCACACUGAGGAUCAGCUGUGCCUGCCCUUCGCCGACAGGCGUGGGUAAACCCGCUGAACCCGCUCUUAUGGGGAUUGGGAUUUGGCCAAUAUUUCCCAUGAACGAGGAAUUCCCAGUAAGCACGGGUCACAAGCUCGUCGUUUGGAUUAAAGUCCCUGCCCUUUGUACACACCGCCCCGUCGCUACUACCAUUGGAUGGGCUAGUGAGUCCUCGAUCGGCCGCCGGGUCUUACGGCUCUGAGCGCGCCGUGCCGAAAGACGAUCAAACUUGCUUAUCUAGAGGAAGUAAAUAGUCGGUAACAAGGUUUCCGUAGGUGAACCUGCGGAAG